GAACGACUCUCGGCAACGGAUAUCUCGGCUCUCGCAUCGAUGAAGAACGUAGCGAAAUGCGAUACUUGGUGUGAAUUGCAGAAUCCCGUGAACCAUCGAGUUUUUGAACGCAAGUUGCGCCCUAGGCCGUUAGGUCGAGGGCACGUCUGCCUGGGCGUCAAGC
rnacentral:rRNA from 8 species